rnacentral:rRNA from 1 species
UACGUAGGGUGCGAGCGUUGUCCGGAAUUAUUGGGCGUAAAGAGCUUGUAGGUGGCUCGUUGCGUCGGGAGUGAAAACCUGCGGCUUAACCGCAGGCCUGCUUCCGAUACGGGCGAGCUAGAGUUCGGCAGGGGAGACUGGAAUUCCUGGUGUAGCGGUGGAAUGCGCAGAUAUCAGGAGGAACACCGGUGGCGAAGGCGGUUCUCUGGGCCGAUACUGACGCUGAGGAGCGAAAGCGUGGGGAGCGAACAGG